UCUUGACUUGUCAAAUCCUGGCUCUGUCUCUAGCAGAGUCAGCGUACCGUGGUGGCUGUGCCUCGCACAGACUCAUUUGCACAGGGCCGGCGUGCUGGCAGGUCAGGCAGAGCACACAAGCGAAUGUGAUGCCAGGGCUACAGGCGCUGUGCAAACAAGAACUAGAAGCAAGGCAACAACAUGAAUUCACAUCACAAAGCGAACCGUGGCUUCAAAGGAAGAAAGGACAGGAACUAGUGUGAGCUGUAUCCUGCCAUGCCUCUUCUCUGGUUUUUAGUACCCAGACAACACCGGGGCGCUGAGGACUGACGGCAAAGGUGGCUCCAGCUAUGUGUGGUUACCACGCGUGCUGCUCUCUGAGAGUCAGGCACAUGCAGGAGAGGCUGUGGCCACCUCUCCUCCCCCCCAAAUUAGGACUCUAUCUAGGUCUUUGACAUCUGCAACUUCAGCCACAGCACAGACUCCCAGACCAGCAGGCAAGCUCUCUGCAGCAGUCUGAACUCCACGGUGUAGAUCUAUUCCUCUGACUGAACGUCUGGCACAGCUGGAAACUAGAAGGAAAACCACAAGUGAAUGGCCUGGCACUCACUCACCACUCGCCUCCAACCACAGACUGAUACAGUUGCUGGAUUUGACUAACGGCUAUCAAUCAGACCAACUGCAGACACCUAGAAAGAUAUCAGCUAGAAAAGGCUUGAGGGAAUAUGUGAGCUGAAAAACAACAAGGUAUUCUACUUUUAAUGGUAUGAUGCUGUCUCAGAAAAUUUUGUACUCAAUAACUCGUGGUGUUACGCUGACUGUUUGCCCUUGUCCCCAUUAACGUGCAUUGGUACUCUGCCCAAAGCCAAUGGGAGUUCCACCUCCGAGAUCAGAUUAACAGGAAACAACCCUGCUUCUCCAAAAACUGGAAUAACAUGAACAAGUGCAGUCUUCUGCCUUUCUUUGUUAGUUAAGUCUGAAGCAAAACGUUAUUGUUUUUCCAUCAGAUCACUAAGGUCACUAAGCUAAAUUGUGGCUUGGGUCCGUUCAACUUAAAAAUGCUUGAAAAAAAUCUUUGUAAUAGGUUGGCCACCUAUCUGGGAAGGAAGAAAAAAAUCCCAUUUUAUUAGGUCUGGUUUGGAAAAAUCAUCAGCCUCCCACACGCCCAUAUGCACAUGAAUGGCAGAAGAAUAAAGGAGGAAAAGUGCAAAGCACAGAAUUUUGAAUGCUGACAAGAUCUUUCCAAGGAACAAACCUUCUCCCAGUACAGUUGGUCUGGACCGUGGUGAACUUUUAUGGCACUUGCAACUUAAAUCACUCUUGUAACAAAACAAGAUAAUUUCUAAAAAUGGCAAAAACAAACUUAGGCCAGAACUGUACAGUACCUUGGCUCAAAUGUUGCAAAUCAGGCUGUGUAGCUUUUACUGUUCUAAGCUGCAACACUUACGUUUGCUUGUUAAAGACAAAACAGAAAAGGAAAAAAAAGUUGUUGUUUUAAUUUCCCUGCUACCAAAAUAUAACCAUGAGCAAGAAGACAAGUGAGUGAUUACAGUUUUGAGCUCUUGGUCCACUAGAUACGUUGUUUUAAGGUUCACUGGAAAACAACAGAUAAUAUGAUUGCAAAGUCUGUGUUUGAAAUUGCUGCAUGAUAAAGAGAACAGUUCUCUCUCUAACCACAUUUAAGAUACUUGCCAGUUAAUACAGAAAACUGAAGUUAAAAGCAGCAUUUAUGGCUGUAUUAACUCAGUUGGUUUUGCCUAGAUGUCUCUAUUAUCUUGGUUUUAUUACCUUCUCUCUCAAUAUCCAGUUAUACAUAUCAUUUGUUUCUUUCAUUAACUCCUCUUUCGCUCCCUCUAUUUCUCUCAUCUUUCCAACAUAAAGAAGAUCUGAAAAUAUAUGACAUCUCUCUUCUUUUUCCUUUUUGAAAGGCAUUUCAGAAAUGUGUUGAAAAUAAGAGAAUAGAGCACAAAAAGGGAGGGUUAAGCUAAAAGCUGAAUAAAGGUAGAAACUUCACUGUAUGGAGAAAUAAAGGAUCUAGUAAGCAAAGCAAAAUAUUCCUACUGCUGCAUAGCCACAGUGCCCACUUAAAACAGUGAGGACUAAAUGACCAGAUAUGUUGAAGCACAGCAAAAUAACUGACAAAGAAUGAAAACACAUCUGAAAUGAGACAAAGCUGUGUCAUAGAAGCACGCCUCACAAUUCCUUGCAUGGCACAAUCCAUGUUUUAGAUUCUCUUUGUUAUCUUUAGAGUCUCUUUCAGACACUGUUCAUGGUACUAGUGUUGUAUGUGCAGGAGUGUAAACUAAAACUGAAGUCUUCGCUACUAUCAGU